CCCUUAGAUGUUCUGGGCCGCACGCGCGCUACACUGACGAAUGCAACGAGCUUAUAACCUUGGCCGAAAGGUCUGGGUAAUCUCCAAAUCUCGUCGUGAUGGGGAUAGAUUAUUGCAAUUAUUAAUCUUCAACGAGGAAUGCCUAGUAAGCGCAAGUCAUCAGCUUGCGUUGAUUACGUCCCUGCCCUUUGUACACACCGCCCGUCGCUCCUACCGAUUGAAUGGUCCGGUGAAGCGUUCGGACCGUGGCCUUUGGACGGUUCGCCGUCUGUUGGCUGCGGGAAGUUCGUUAAACCUUAUCAUUUAGAGGAAGGAGAAGUCGUANCA
rnacentral:rRNA from 1 species